GAUGAACGCUGGCGGCGUGCCUAAUACAUGCAAGUCGAGCGAACAGACGAGGAGCUUGCUCCUCUGACGUUAUCGGCGGACGGGUGAGUAACACGUGGAUAACCUACCUAUAAGACUGGGAUAACUUCGGGAAACCGGAGCUAAUACCGGAUAAUAUAUUGAACCGCAUGGUUCAAUAGUGAAAGACGGUUUUGCUGUCACUUAUAGAUGGCUCCGCGCCGCAUUAGCUAGUUGGUAAGGUAACGGCUUACCAAGGCAACGAUGCGUAGCCGACCUGAGAGGGUGGACGGCCACACUGGAACUGAGACACGGUCGAGACUCCUACGGGAGGCAGCAGUAGGGAAUCUUCCGCGAUGGGCGAAAGCCUGACGGAGCAACGCCGCGUGAGGGAUGAAGGUCUUCGGAUCGUAAAACUCUGUUAUUAGGGAAGAACAAAUGUGUAAGUAACUAUGCACGUCUUGACGGUACCUAAUCAGAAAGCCACGGCUAACUACGUG
rnacentral:rRNA from 1 species